AUGUGUGCCCCAAAGAGGCAUCCUGCCCCCUCUACCACCCUUGGGACACUGGUUGGGUUCUCAGUGGGGUUUGGGACACCUCUGCUGCAUCUGACUGGUGUGGGGGUGAGGGUUGGUAUCUCUCUUUGUGGCAUCACAUCCAAGUCCACCUGGUUCCUUAGUCCUCAUGGAUGGCUGGAGCAUGAAAAUCCUGCUGCAGAGGGAGGGUGCUGCUGUCAGUCGUCAGCCUGUCUCACUCCAGGCAUUCCUGGCACAAGUCUCUUCAGGCUUUUUUAGCUCAGCCUCUGGAAACCUGGGCAACAGAGGAGGAGGGUGUAGGUGUUGGAAAGCACUUGAGGUCAACUUUGGUCAUUGCUGUCCUGUGUAACUGGGUCAAGUCACCGAAUGUCUAAAGGUAAGGAGGAGUUUUAUGCUGUUUUUAAGGCUGUUGUUAGUUAUCUGGCAAUGUGUGUCUGGUCUCUCUGCCCACCUGUGGGGUGUGGAGAAAGGCUGAUGUUGCUUCUCCCAGCCUCAACAGCCUGCUCUUGACUCGGGUGGGGUCCAAGCCUGGCUGAAGGGACUCCAGACUGGGGUUUGACUUCCACCACAGGAGAUCCCAUGCUCUAGCCUGCUUGGCUGACAUUGCGAUUUUCACCUGGAGAUCCCAAACCACCGAGGUGCUUUUAUCCCUCCGUGGGCACAUAAGUCGUUCCUCCUUCUCCAGGUGCUUGUCUGCCCUCAGGACUCUUGAUUUCCAGUUGUGUGAGAAGAAUGGGGCUCUUUGGCUGCUCCCCCUGCCAGGCAGAGAGCUGAGGCAGCAGCAUGGCCAGGGAGCCAUUCCUGGGGCACUCAGUGCCAGAGUGAAUCAGGCUACAGUGACCUGCAAAGCCUUGUCCUAAGUAUUGUCUCUUCUCCCACCAACUGCAGUAUUCAGGGGACUGAUGAUAUCAAUGAGAGCUCUUGGUGAUGGCUGGAACCGAAACAAAUCACUUUCCCACUAGGAAAAGGUCAUCUGUGAAAUUUCACGGACAGUUCCCCCCACUUGUUAAACACCCCCUUCACUUUGCAUUUUUUUUUUAAAUUUUAUUAUUAUUAUUUUUUUAUCUGUGUAAUUGCAUGUCAGGCCAAGUGCACUCAGAAUGUGAGCAGGGUCUGAUACAAGGAGGGUGAAAUGAGAUAAUCCAUGUUUUCAUCAUCCAUAGGCCUCUCUUUUCACGGGCCGUGGGCCGUACUUUAUUAGGCUGAGCAGCUCUGGGCCUGCAAGAAAGAGGAGUCCUUUCUCAUCCCGAUGAGAAUAGUGCAGUGAAUGGAUUCCAAGUGUUUACUCAGCAUUUGUCUCGUGGUUUAUCAAAGGAAUGAGGAGGAGGUGCCGACAGACCUUUUGUCCUGCUGAUGUGUUAUGACAAUGUUCCAUGAAUAUGCAGAAUGGCAGAAGGGAUUAGAGCCAGUACAAUUCCCCUCCGGCGCUUUUUUUUUUCUUUUUCUGCCUUUUUUUUUUUUUUUUUUGCCUGGGAUGUUCAGGGGUUUAGGAGUGACCUGCUCACAGUCAGGGCACUAAACAUCAGAUUUUCCUGCAGAUAGGGGUGUAAAAAUCCCACACUUGUCCAAAGCUGUUAGCAUCUGACUUGAAGGUUGGGCUGUCUUAGUCACUCGCUGCUCUUUAUGAAAUUUCGGCUGGCAGGAACUGCCUGGCUGAAAGCUUUGUGUUUUGGGAGACAUGGAGAUAUUGGGGCAUAAUUAAAACUUGAGUCAAUCAGUGACAUGUGAAGCCCAGGGCUGGUGGGGCUGUGACUGCUGCUCCCUGCUGCUGCUGGUGUAGGCUGGCAGUGGCACCUUGCUGUGUUUUCCUCUUGCUUCCCAGAGUCCUGGCCCAGGAGUUUGGGCAUGAUUCAAUAAACAGUGCUGGCAUCAGGCA
rnacentral:lncRNA from 1 species